CUGCUCACUUCGGCAGCACAUAUACUCAAAUUGUGAAUGGCGCCGAGGAGAUUAGCACGGCCCUGGCGCAAGGAUGACACGCAAACUCCUCAGAGGGAAAGCUGUCUC